rnacentral:rRNA from 1 species
CAGCAGCCGCGGUAAUACGUAGGGUGCAAGCGUUAAUCGGAAUUACUGGGCGUAAAGCGUGCGCAGGCGGUUAUAUAAGACAGAUGUGAAAUCCCCGGGCUCAACCUGGGAACUGCAUUUGUGACUGUAUAGCUAGAGUACGGCAGAGGGGGAUGGAAUUCCGCGUGUAGCAGUGAAAUGCGUAGAUAUGCGGAGGAACACCGAUGGAGAAGGCAAUCCCCUGGGCCUGUACUGACGCUCAUGCACGAAAGCGUGGGGAGCAAACAGGAUUAGAGACCCCCGUAGUCCCUGUCUCUUAUAC